rnacentral:rRNA from 1 species
AGAGUUUGAUCAUGGCUCAGAAUCAACGUUGGCGGCGCGCUUAACACAUGCAAGUCGAACGAGAAAGGGGAGCAAUCCCUGAGUAAAGUGGCAUCCGGGUGAGUAACACGUGGAUAAUCUACCCUUUGGUGGGGAAUAACCCUGGGAAACCGGGGCUAAUACCGCAUAAGUCCGAGAGGAGAAAGGCGAAAGUCGCCGAAGGAAGAGUCCGCGGCCGAUUAGCUAGUUGGUAGGGUAACGGCCUACCAAGGCGAAGAUCGGUAGCCGGCCUGAGAGGGCACACGGCCACACUGGCACUGAAACACGGGCCAGACUCCUACGGGAGGCAGCAGUGGGGAAUCUUGCACAAUGGGGGAAACCCUGAUGCAGCGACGCCGCGUGAGUGAUGAAGCCCUUCGGGGUGUAAAGCUCUUUCGACAGGAACGAUAAUGACGGUACCUGGAGAAGAAGCUGCGGCUAACUACGUGCCAGCAGCCGCGGUAAUACGUAGGCAGCGAACGUAGUUCGGAGUUACUGGGCGUAAAGAGUACGUAGGCGGUUCGCUAAGUCUGGUGUGAAAUCUCCUGGCUCAACUGGGAGGGUGCGCCGGAUACUGGCGGGCUCGAGUGCGGGAGAGGGAAGCGGAAUUCCUGGUGUAGCGGUGAAAUGCGUAGAUAUCAGGAGGAACACCUGCGGUGAAGACGGCUUCCUGGACCGUGACUGACGCUGAGGUACGAAAGCGUGGGUAGCAAACAGGAUUAGAUACCCUGGUAGUCCACGCCCUAAACGAUGCAAACUUGGUGUAGGCAGUUCAGUCUGUCGGUGAGUGGAAUUCCCAGUGUAGAGGUGAAAUUC